AUACGGAAGGUCCGGGCGUUAUCCGGAUUUAUUGGGUUUAAAGGGAGCGCAGGCGGAGAUGCAAGCGUGACGUCAAAUUUCGGGGCUCAACCCCGUCUCGCGUCGCGAACUGCGUCCCUUGGUUGCGGGAAGGGGAGGCGGAACUCGUGGGGUAGCGGUGGAAUGCAUAGAUAUCACGAAGAACUCCGAUCGCGAAGGCAGCCUUCCGGCCCGUCAACGACGCUCAUGCUCGAAGGUGCGGGUAUCAAACAGGAUUAGAUACCCUGGUAGUCCGCACAGUAAACGAUGGACACCCGCGGUUUGGCCUGUAUGGCUGAGCCGCCAAGCGAAAGCGUUAAGUGUCCCACCUGGGGAGUACGCCGGCAACGGUGAAACUCAAAUGAAUUGACGGGG
rnacentral:rRNA from 1 species